rnacentral:rRNA from 1 species
UACGUAGGCGGCGCUGUCAGUCGGGUGUGAAAUCCCUCGGCUCAACCGAGGAAUAGCGCCCGAUACUGCAGUGCUUGAGGGAGACAGAGGUAAGCGGAACUGAUGGUGGAGCGGUGAAAUGCGUUGAUAUCAUCAGGAACACCGGUGGCGAAAGCGGCUUACUGGGUCUCUUCUGACGCUGAGGUACGAAAGCUAGGGUAGCGAAGG